rnacentral:rRNA from 1 species
AACGAACGCUGGCGGCAUGCCUAACACAUGCAAGUCGAACGAGACCUUCGGGUCUAGUGGCGCACGGGUGCGUAACGCGUGGGAACCUGCCCUUAGGUUCGGAAUAACUCCCCGAAAGGGGUGCUAAUACCGUAUAAUGUCUUCGGACCAAAGAUUUAUCGCCUUUGGAUGGGCCCGCGUUGGAUUAGCUAGUUGGUAGGGUAAAAGCCUACCAAGGCGACGAUCCAUAGCUGGUCUGAGAGGAUGAUCAGCCACACUGGGACUGAGACACGGCCCAGACUCCUACGGGAGGCAGCAGUGGGGAAUAUUGGACAAUGGGCGAAAGCCUGAUACAGCAAUGCCGCGUGAGUGAUGAAGGCCUUAGGGUUGUAAAGCUCUUUUACCCGGGAUGAUAAUGACAGUACCGGGAGAAUAAGCUCCGGCUAACUCCGUG